rnacentral:tRNA from 1 species
UCCUCAGUAGCUCAGUGGUAGAGCGCUCGGCUGUUAACCGAUUGGUCGUAGGUUCAAAUCCUACUUGAGGAG